GUGGGGAAUAUUGGACAAUGGGGGAAACCCUGAUCCAGCCAUGCCGCGUGUGUGAAGAAGGCCUUAGGGUUGUAAAGCACUUUAAGCGAGGAGGAAGGGCUCUAGGUUAAUACCUUGGAGCAUUGACGUUACUCGCAGAAUAAGCACCGGCUAACUCUGUGCCAGCAGCCGCGGUAAUACAGAGGGUGCGAGCGUUAAUCGGAAUUACUGGGCGUAAAGCGCGCGUAGGCGGUUGUGUAAGUUGGAGGUGAAAUCCCCGGGCUUAACCUGGGCACUGCCUUCAAAACUGCACGGCUAGAGUAUGGGAGAGGAAGGUAGAAUUCCAGGUGUAGCGGUGAAAUGCGUAGAGAUCUGGAGGAAUACCGAUGGCGAAGGCAGCCUUCUGGCCUAAUACUGACGCUGAGGUGCGAAAGCAUGGGGAGCAAACAGGAUUAGAUACCCGAGUAGUCC
rnacentral:rRNA from 1 species